UACAGAGGUCCCAAGCGUUGUUCGGAUUCACUGGGCGUAAAGGGUGCGUAGGCGGUCGGGUAAGUCUGAUGUGAAAUCUCACAGCUUAACUGUGAAACUGCAUUGGAUACUAUCCGGCUCGAGGAAUGGAGGGGAGACUGGAAUACUUGGUGUAGCAGUGAAAUGCGUAGAUAUCAAGUGGAACACCAGUGGCGAAGGCGAGUCUCUGGACAUUUCCUGACGCUGAGGCACGAAAGCGUGGGUAGCAAACAGG
rnacentral:rRNA from 1 species